UUAAUUAAAAUGAUACUAAAAAUCUUGAUGUGUAGGAGUAUAUCAUAGUUCCUGAUUUGAUCCAUACUUAUGUCAAAUAGUUUGAACUGUAGUAAGAUAACAUAGGUCCUGAUUCGAUCCCUGCUGAUGUUAAAUAGGCAGAACUGUACGUAGGAGAAUACGAAAGGUCCUGAUUCGACCCCUCCUGAUGUUUAAUUGGUAGGACUAUAGGAGGAUACUAUAGGUCAUGAUUUGAUUCCUGCAUAUGUUCAAUAGGUGCGA
rnacentral:lncRNA from 1 species